rnacentral:piRNA from 1 species
UAGGAUUCGGCAGAAGAAGUGCCUUGUCC